rnacentral:rRNA from 1 species
UACGUAGGGCGCAAGCGUUGUCCGGAAUUAUUGGGCGUAAAGAGCUCGUAGGUGGUUUGUCGCGCCUGUCGUGAAAGCCCGGGGCUUAACUCCGGGUCUGCGGUGGAUACGGGCAGACUAGAGGCAGGUAGGGGAGAACGGAAUUCCCGGUGUAGCGGUGAAAUGCGCAGAUAUCGGGAGGAACACCGGUGGCGAAGGCGGUUCUCUGGGCCUGUACUGACGCUGAGGAGCGAAAGCGUGGGGAGCAAACGGG